UAUAAGCAAUUUAUACAGUGAAACUGCGAAUGGCUCAUUAAAUCAGUUAUCGUUUAUUUGAUAGUUCCUUUACUACAUGGUAUAACUGUGGUAAUUCUAGAGCUAAUACAUGCUUAAAAUCUCGACCCUUUGGAAGAGAUGUAUUUAUUAGAUAAAAAAUCAAUGUCUUCGGACUCUUUGAUGAUUCAUAAUAACUUUUCGAAUCGCAUGGCCUUGUGCUGGCGAUGGUUCAUUCAAAUUUCUGCCCUAUCAACUUUCGAUGGUAGGAUAGUGGCCUACCAUGGUUUCAACGGGUAACGGGGAAUAAGGGUUCGAUUCCGGAGAGGGAGCCUGAGAAACGGCUACCACAUCCAAGGAAGGCAGCAGGCGCGCAAAUUACCCAAUCCUAAUUCAGGGAGGUAGUGACAAUAAAUAACGAUACAGGGCCCAUUCGGGUCUUGUAAUUGGAAUGAGUACAAUGUAAAUACCUUAACGAGGAACAAUUGGAGGGCAAGUCUGGUGCCAGCAGCCGCGGUAAUUCCAGCUCCAAUAGCGUAUAUUAAAGUUGUUGCAGUUAAAAAGCUCGUAGUUGAACUUUGGGCCCGGUUGGCCGGUCCGAUUUUUUCGUGUACUGGAUUUCCAACGGGGCCUUUCCUUCUGGCUAACCUUGAGUCCUUGUGGCUCUUGGCGAACCAGGACUUUUACUUUGAAAAAAUUAGAGUGUUCAAAGCAGGCGUAUUGCUCGAAUAUAUUAGCAUGGAAUAAUAGAAUAGGACGUUUGGUUCUAUUUUGUUGGUUUCUAGGACCAUCGUAAUGAUUAAUAGGGACGGUCGGGGGCAUCAGUAUUCAAUUGUCAGAGGUGAAAUUCUUGGAUUUAUUGAAGACUAACUACUGCGAAAGCAUUUGCCAAGGACGUUUUCAUUAAUCAAGAACGAAAGUAGGGGAUCGAAGAUGAUCAGAUACGUCGUAGUCUACAUAACUAUGCGACUAGGGAUCGGGUGGUGUUUUUUAUGACCACUCGCACCUACGAGAAUCAAGUCUUGGUUCUGGGGGGAGUUGUCGCAGCUGACUAAGAAUUGACGAGAGAGA
rnacentral:rRNA from 1 species